UACAGAGGGGGCAAGCGUUAUUCGGAAUUAUUGGGCGUAAAGGGCGCGUAGGCGGCUUUGCAAGUGGCGGGUGAAAUCCCUCGGCUUAACCGAGGAACUGCCUGUCAAACUGCAUGGCUUGAGACCAGGAGAGGUGAGUGGAAUUCCCAGUGUAGCGGUGAAAUGCGUAGAUAUUGGGAGGAACACCAGUGGCGAAGGCGGCUCACUGGACCGGAACUGACGCUGAGGCGCGAAAGCGUGGGGAGCAAACAGG
rnacentral:rRNA from 1 species